UACGUAGGGUGCGAGCGUUAAUCGGAAUUACUGGGCGUAAAGCGUGCGCAGGCGGUUCGUUAUGUCCGUUGUGAAAGCCCCGGGCUCAACCUGGGAAUGGCAAUGGAAACUGGCGGGCUAGAGUGUGGCAGAGGGGGGUGGAAUUCCGCGUGUAGCAGUGAAAUGCGUAGAGAUGCGGAGGAACACCGAUGGCGAAGGCAGCCCCCUGGGCUGACACUGACGCUCAUGCACGAAAGCGUGGGGAGCAAACAGG
rnacentral:rRNA from 1 species